rnacentral:lncRNA from 1 species
UUGUAUUCUUUAUUCUUCUGAGAUGUUUUCUUAUUUAGUUAUGAACUAAAUCCCUUAAAUACCUAAGGGGAAUGAAACCUAAGACGAAUCUUGUUAUUAUUUUCUGAAUCGUAUGAUAAAUAUUUAACUUGUUCUUAAUUAUGUGUUCUUAAUUCUUGUUUUGAUAUCCCAGGAUACUAAUUUAAGACACACUCUUAUUCAGAAGAGGAAUAGACCCUGUCUAAGAGUAAAAUUGCCAUAAUUAAGCGGAGUUGAUUGCGCG